GACGAACGCUGGCGGCGUGCUUAACACAUGCAAGUCGAACGAAGUGGCGAACGGGUGAGUAACGCGUAAUCAACCUGCCCUUCAGAGGGGGACAACAGUUGGAAACGACUGCUAAUCCCGCAUACUGAAGGAGGGGAUUGUGUCUGAUUAGCUAGUUGGGGGGGUAACGGCCCACCAAGGCGAUGCUCAGUAGCCGGUCUGAGAGGGUGGACGGCCACAUUGGGACUGAGACACGGCCCAGAAUCCUACGGGAGGCAGCAGUGGGGAAACUUCCGCAAUGGACGAAAGUCUGACGGCGCAACGCCGGGGGAGUGAUGACGGCCUUCGGGUUGUAAAGCUCUGUUAAUCGGGACGCGGUACCGGAAUAGAAAGCAACGGCUAACUACGUGCCAGCAGCCGCGGUAAUUC
rnacentral:rRNA from 1 species